AGAGUUUGAUCCUGGCUCAGGACGAACGCUGGCGGCGUGCCUAACACAUGCAAGUCGAACGGAACUGUUUUGAAAGAUUUCUUCGGAAUGAAUUUGAUUUAGUUUAGUGGCGGACGGGUGAGUAACGCGUGAGUAACCUGCCUUCAAGAGGGGGAUAACAUUCUGAAAAGAAUGCUAAUACCGCAUGACAUAUCGGAACCACAUGAUUCUGAUAUCAAAGAUUUUAUCGCUUGAAGAUGGACUCGCGUCCGAUUAGUUAGUUGGUGAGGUAACGGCUCACCAAGACCGCGAUCGGUAGCCGGACUGAGAGGUUGAACGGCCACAUUGGGACUGAGACACGGCCCAGACUCCUACGGGAGGCAGCAGUGGGGGAUAUUGCGCAAUGGGGGCAACCCUGACGCAGCAACGCCGCGUGAAGGAUGAAGGUUUUCGGAUUGUAAACUUCUUUUAUUAAGGACGAAAAAUGACGGUACUUAAUGAAUAAGCUCCGGCUAACUACGUGCCAGCAGCCGCGGUAAUACGUAGGGAGCAAGCGUUGUCCGGAUUUACUGGGUGUAAAGGGUGCGUAGGCGGCUUUGCAAGUCAGAUGUGAAAUCUAUGGGCUCAACCCAUAAACUGCAUUUGAAACUGUAGAGCUUGAGUGAAGUAGAGGCAGGCGGAAUUCCCCGUGUAGCGGUGAAAUGCGUAGAGAUGGGGAGGAACACCAGUGGCGAAGGCGGCCUGCUGGGCUUUAACUGACGCUGAGGCACGAAAGCGUGGGUAGCAAACAGGAUUAGAUACCCUGGUAGUCCACGCUGUAAACGAUGAUUACUAGGUGUGGGGGGUCUGACCCCUUCCGUGCCGGAGUUAACACAAUAAGUAAUCC
rnacentral:rRNA from 1 species